ensembl:rRNA 5S_rRNA 5S ribosomal RNA
ACCACCCUGAACGCACCUGAUCUCAUCUGAUCUCAGAAGCUAAGCAGGGUCAAGCCUGGUUAGUACUUGGAUGGGAGACAGAGUACUUUUAACAUAGAUACUUGGUA